rnacentral:rRNA from 1 species
AGAGUUUGAUCCUGGCUCAGGAUGAAUGCUGGCGGCGUGCUUAACACAUGCAAGUCGAGCGAAGCAUUUAAUUCGAAGUUUUCGGAUGGAGAGUUAUCUGACUGAGCGGCGGACGGGUGAGUAACGCGUGGGGAACCUGCCUCAUACAGGGGAAUAACAGUUAGAAAUGACUGCUAAUGCCGCAUAAGCGCACAGUACCGCAUGGUACAGUGUGAAAAACUCCGGUGGUAUGAGAUGGCCCCGCGUCUGAUUAGGCAGUUGGCGGGGUAACGGCCCACCAAACCGACGAUCAGUAGCCGACCUGAGAGGGUGACCGGCCACAUUGGGACUGAGACACGGCCCAAACUCCUACGGGAGGCAGCAGUGGGGGAUAUUGCACAAUGGGGGAAACCCUGAUGCAGCGACGCCGCGUGGGUGAGGAAGUAUUUCGGUAUGUAAAGCCCUAUCAGCAGGGAAGAAGAUGACAGUACCUGACUAAGAAGCCCCGGCUAACUACGUGCCAGCAGCCGCGGUAAUACGUAGGGGGCAAGCGUUAUCCGGAUUUACUGGGUGUAAAGGGAGCGCAGGUGGCAAGGCAAGCCAGAAGUGAAAACCCGGGGCUUAACCCCGCGGAUUGCUUUUGGAACUGUCUGGCUGGAGUGCAGGAGGGGCAGGCGGAAUUCCUGGUGUAGCGGUGAAAUGCGUAGAUAUCAGGAGGAACACCGGUGGCGAAGGCGGCCUGCUGGACUGUUGCUGACGCUGAGGCACGAAAGCGUGGGGAGCAAAUAGGAUUAGAUACCCUAGUAGUCCACGCCGUAAACGAUGAGGACCAAGUGUUGGGGGUGAAACCUCAGUGCUGAAGUUAACGCAGUGAGUCCUCCGCCUGGGGAGUAUGCACGCAAGUGUGAAACUCAAAGGAAUUGACGGGGGCCCGCACAAGCGGUGGAGUAUGUGGUUUAAUUCGAAGCAACGCGAAGAACCUUACCAGGCCUUGACAUGGGAUGCGAAGAUGCAGAGAUGCAUCGGAGGUCAACAUCCACACAGGUGGUGCAUGGUUGUCGUCAGCUCGUGUCGUGAGAUGUUGGGUCAAGUCCCGCAACGAGCGCAACCCUUGUGGCACGUUGCUAACAGGAAAAGCUGAGGACUCAUGCCAGACUGCCGGUGACAAACCGGAGGAAGGCGGGGAUGACGUCAAAUCAUCAUGCCCCUUAUGGCCUGGGCUACACACGUACUACAAUGGCGGCUACAAAGAGCAGCGAGACAGGGAUGUCGAGCGAAUCUCAUAAAAGCCGUCCCAGUUCGGAUUGGAGGCUGCAACCCGCCUCCAUGAAGUUGGAAUCGCUAGUAAUCGCGGAUCAGCAUGCCGCGGUGAAUACGUUCCCGGGCCUUGCACACACCGCCCGUCA